UCGAUAAUUACUAUGGGAAACUGUAAAUACCGUAAAACCAAUACAUUUCAAAAUCCUAUUUCAAAAUUUUAAAGCAGAUGUUUCAAUUGUGAAUACUGCGUCUGUAACUUGCUACACCAAAUCAUACAUGUAGGAUGUGAGUUGUUGGACCUUCAGAUAUGAUGAAAGAAAUCGCUGCAAUAGUGGCGGAAGGAGAAUCAAACGUCAAUUUUAGGUUUACAACUGAAAUUCUAGCCUCUAGGACGGUUCGUCUCUUGCGCAAAACAUCCCUAACCCAG
rnacentral:lncRNA from 1 species